UACGGAGGGGGCUAGCGUUGUUCGGAUUACUGGGGCGUAAAGCGCACGUAGGCGGCUUUGUAAGUUAGAGGUGAAAGCCCGGAGCUCAACUCCGGAAUUGCCUUUAAGACUGCAUCGCUAGAAUUGUGGAGAGGUAAGUGGAAUUCCGAGUGUAGAGGUGAAAUUCGUAGAUAUUCGGAAGAACACCAGUGGCGAAGGCGACUUACUGGACACAUAUUGACGCUGAGGUGCGAAAGCGUGGGGAGCAAACAGG
rnacentral:rRNA from 1 species